rnacentral:rRNA from 1 species
AGUGAACGCUGGCGGUAGGCCUAACACAUGCAAGUCGAACGGCAGCACAGUAAGAGCUUGCUCUUACGGGUGGCGAGUGGCGGACGGGUGAGGAAUACAUCGUAAUCUACUUUUUCGUGGGGGAUAACGUAGGGAAACUUACUCUAAUACCGCAUACGACCUACGGGUGAAAGCAGGGGAUCUUCGGACCUUGCGCGAUUGAAUGAGCCGAUGUCGGAUUAGCUAGUUGGCGGGGUAAAGGCCCACCAAGGCGACGAUCCGUAGCUGGUCUGAGAGGAUGAUCAGCCACACUGGAACUGAGACACGGUCCAGACUCCUACGGGAGGCAGCAGUGGGGAAUAUUGGACAAUGGGCGCAAGCAUGAUCCAGCCAUACCGCGUGGGUGAAGAAGGCCUUCGGGUUGUAAAGCCCUUUUGUUGGGAAAGAAAAGCAGCAGGUUAAUACCCCGCUGUUCUGACGGUACCCAAAGAAUAAGCACCGGCUAACUUCGUG